rnacentral:rRNA from 1 species
AUUGAACGCUGGCGGCAGGCCUAACACAUGCAAGUCGAGCGGAUGAAGGGAGCUUGCUCCUGGAUUCAGCGGCGGACGGGUGAGUAAUGCCUAGGAAUCUGCCUGGUAGUGGGGGAUAACGUCCGGAAACGGGCGCUAAUACCGCAUACGUCCUGAGGGAGAAAGUGGGGGAUCUUCGGACCUCACGCUAUCAGAUGAGCCUAGGUCGGAUUAGCUAGUUGGUGGGGUAAAGGCCUACCAAGGCGACGAUCCGUAACUGGUCUGAGAGGAUGAUCAGUCACACCGGAACUGGGAAAAGGGCCAGAAUCCUAAGGGAGGCAGCAGUGGGGAAUAUUGGACAAUGGGCGAAAGCCUGAUCCAGCCAUGCCGCGUGUGUGAAGAAGGUCUUCGGAUUGUAAAGCACUUUAAGUUGGGAGGAAGGGCAGUAAGUUAAUACCUUGCUGUUUUGACGUUACCAACAGAAUAAGCACCGGCUAACUUCGUG